rnacentral:lncRNA from 1 species
UCCCACUGGCUUCAGAAGCGGGUGGAGAAAACCAAGAACUGGGCCAAGAUCCGCACCUGCCUCUCCGACGCCAAGGUCUGCCGGAGCCUGCAGGAGGCCAGCCUGUCCCUCGACCAGUUCAUCAAGGACAACCUCUCGCCCAUCCAGGUGCCCUCAAAAUCUCAUCUUUUUGCGAUCUGAGGCGUAAAGAUCGAAUCUUGAGUCACAGAUUUCGGUUACCUUUUUUGUUCGACUCGUGGAAACACGGUUUUAUUCUCUGUGUUUUCAUAAGGAAAACUUUUACUCCACUCACCUUAAAGUAAAAUUAUUUCAUAAGGGAAUAAUUCGUAGUCCUCCAAGAAUUUGAUGUCCUCCUAAAUCUUCAAGUAAUUUCACUUUCUUUGAGUUUUUUACUCGGAUUCUUGUUAGUUUACUUACUAUCUUUUUUAGGGAGGAACUCCCCUCACUUUGUGAACUUGCUUCUUUGUUAUUUUCCGAAAUUUCUUGUUUCUUCGGCAUAAAUUUCAAUGGUUUUCAAUCUUGAUAUUUUCUUGGAUAUGUUGGUCUGUUGUUGCAGGAUUUCACUUUGUCAUUUGCAUUACAAAUCUGAAUGUGAUGUUUCUUAACAAUUUACUCCCUUGCGUGGGCCUCGUUUGUAAGAAUGAAAAGGAAUCAUUAUGGAUUUCGCUAUCCGGUUGUCAUAAUUAAUAGGUCUCUAUCGAUGGCAAUGGCUUCACACCACCUCAUAUAAUUGACAUUUUUUGUUCCUGGUUCUUGAUUUUCUUCAUCUCCCUUUUUUUUUAUGGUCGAAAUUUUCUAUCCAAGAGAUCCGAUUACUUGUAGAUGAACAGUUUCCUGUGUUUGUUGUCAACUUGGUAUGUGGAUCGAGGGUUCUCUUGAAGUUCUUGUCACUGUUCAUCUUAGUUCCAGUGCUGAUUCAUUGUGCAGUCAAUUCCCAUUUUCUCACACCCAUUUAAUCGAGUGGAAGGCAUGUCAGUUCUCCUAAAUCGUUCGAGGCAUCCAACACCGUGUGAAGUCAAUACUUACAUAUCCUUCAAUGAUGCUUUAAACAGUUCUUAUAGAAUGAUAUCACACAACGUGCAUCCCCAAUAAUGUUGUGUGCCAAUUGUUGUCUGCUAUAAUUGCAAUUAUUUGGUUGGUAAUCUUCGUCCUUUCCGUGUAGUCUGGAUGCUGCAAGCCUCCCUCAGAAUGCCGCUUCGACUACGAGAACGCAACCGUGUGGAAUAAGCCGGCCGCCGGCUUCGCCUCAAACAACACCGACUGCGAGACGUGGAACAACGAUCAGUCGACCCUCUGCUACGACUGCAGCUCCUGCAAGGCCGGCGUCAUUGCCAACAUCAAGGACAAGUGGAAGAAGAUCGCCAUCCUCAACAUCAUCUUCCUCGUCUUCCUCGUCAUCGUCUACUCCAUCGGCUGCUGCGCCUUCAGGAACAACAGGCGGGACAACGCAUGGAAAGGAGGAUACCCUUAGAAGAUGAUCCUCGGAUUCCGCAGCUUUACGAGUCUUCCCCCUUAUGCUCGC